rnacentral:lncRNA from 1 species
AUGGGUGACAAGGGCAUGGGGCGCCUCGGUGACAUUGGGAUAGAGGAGCAGCAGGAGGAGGAGAGGAGGAGCAGCGGAGGAGCAGCAGCGGGAGGAGAGGAGGAGCAGUGGAGGAGCAGCAGGAGGAGCAGCCGGAGGAGCAGAGGAGGAGCAGCGAGAGGAGCAGCAGAGGAGCAGCAGGAGGAGCAGUGGAGGAGUAGCAGCGGGAGCAGCAGGAGGAGCAGCAGGAGGAGGAGCAGAGGAGCAGCAGCGGGAGCAGAGGAGGAGCAGCAGGAGGAGGAGCGGAGGAGCAGCAGCGGGAGCAGAGGAGGAGCAGCAGGAGCAGAGGAGGAGCAGCAGGAAGAGCAGCGGAGGAGCAGCAGCGGGAGCAGAGGAGGAGCAGCGGAGGAGCAUGAGCAGCAGAAGGAGCAGUGGAGGAGCAGUAGAGGAGCAGCAGGAGGAGCAGCAGGAGGAGUGGAGGAGCAGCAGGAGGAGCAGCAGAGAAGCAGCAGGAGGAGCAGCGAGAGGAGCAGCAGGAGGAGCAGCGGAAGGAGCAGCAGGAGGAGCAGCGGAGGAGCAGCAGGAGGAGCAGCGGAGGAGCAGCAGCGGGAGCAGAGGAGGAGUAGCGGAGGAGCAGCAGGAGGAGCAGCAAGAGGAGCAGAGGAGGAGCAGGAGGAGCAGGAGGAGCAGUGGAGCAGCAGGAGGAGCAGCGAGAGGAGCAGCAGGAGCAGCAGCGGGAGCAGAGGAGGAGCAGCAGGAGGAGCAGAGGAGGAGCAGCGGAGCAGCAGGAGGAGCAGCGAGAGGAGCAGCAGGAGCAGAAGCGGGAGCAGAGGAGGAGCAGCAGGAGGAGCAGAGGAGGGGCAGCGGAGCAGCAGGAGGAGCAGCGCACCGCCCCCCCCACCACGCCGUCAGUUGCGGGCCCCGCCGGGACUUCUCGGGGCCUCAGUUUCCUCUCUGUGGCCCAGGGCGAGUGGCGGCGCCUCCCAGGCCGCGAAGCCGAGGUCGGGAGCCCAUGGGUGGCGAGGGCCCAGGGCACCCGCCGGCCCCGGGCCACUCGAGGGCCCCCCUGGCUCCGUGGCGGGCUCCUGGUUUCGGCUCAGGGAGCGAGGUCGCGCCCCGCCGAGGCUCCAGGCUCCCCGGGACGCGCUGGGGACCAUGUCCCCGCCCCCCCGCCGCUCGCUCUCGGAAUAA